rnacentral:lncRNA from 10 species
GGACUCAGAAAGGCAAAACAGCUUGCUCAAGGGCUCACAACUAUUUAGGUGGUAGAGCUAAGAUAUGAACCUACCUCUGACACCAAAGUGCACUUCAACACCCUACUAUCACCCAACAAAGAAUUCUGGCCACAGAAUCACCUUGCUGCGGUAUUCCUGACUGAAUCAAGAUACGCUGGGGAAGAGGCAUCUGAAGAUAGCCCGGGUUCUGACCUCGGCCCUGCUGCCUAACUGCCUGGUGACUUCAGGUAUUCUAAUCACAGAAUUACUGGAGCAUCAAGAAGUGCCUGCAUGCUUGGAAGGGCUUCCAGGCAGAUGAACACACCUCAGCACCGGGUGGCAUUUUCCCAGGGUGCAACCCGGACCGGCUCUGGGUCACACUGACAAGCCUCUCCGACUCCCCAGGCUGGGUUGGGUGCUCCUCCCUCUCAUCCCACAGCGCUAUGUCUCAUGUCUUCUGGAAAACUUGCCAAUCCCUAGUGACAACAGGGUUAACAAUUUCCAGAGACAGCCCGUACAUAGAAGGAAUGUUUACUGAAAAAAAUGAAGAGGGGUCAGGGCAAGGCGAGGAGCAAGAAGCACCCCCAAGGAAACAGAGAAGACCAGUACAACUGUACCUCUUUGCCAGCUGCACCAUCCGUACCAGUCUCCUGGGGUGGAAGUGUCCAGCACAGAGACUGCCACACUGCAAGACG